GUUUCAAUUUUUAAUUCAAAUCUACCGUGAAGUUGUUUCACGGUAGGAUACGAAAAUACCAUGCAACGUGUAUGCAUGGAUUUCGGGCUUUCUGAUUUGAUCAGUUAGUUGAAGUAAUCUGCUUCUAUUUGCAUUCCUAUAUAUACAAGCAAGAAAUAAAAAUGCAUACUUCUUCUUUCUCCAAAAACUGCCUUCCAGAAAACAGCAAAACAGAGGC
rnacentral:lncRNA from 1 species